AACGAACGCUGGCGGCAGGCCUAACACAUGCAAGUCGAGCGAGGUAGCAAUACCUAGCGGCGGACGGGUGAGUAACGCGUGGGAACGUGCCCCUUGGUACGGAAUAGCCCCGGGAAACUGGGAGUAAUUCCGUAUGAGCUCUACGGAGGAAAGAUUUAUCGCCAAGGGAUCGGCCCGCGUUGGAUUAGGUAGUUGGUGGGGUAAUGGCCUACCAAGCCGACGAUCCAUAGCUGGUUUGAGAGGAUGAUCAGCCACACUGGGACUGAGACACGGCCCAGACUCCUACGGGAGGCAGCAGUGGGGAAUCUUAGACAAUAGGCGCAAGCCUGUUCUAGCCAUGCCGCGUGAGCGAUGAAGGCCUUAGGGUUGUAAAGCUCUUUCAGUGGGGACGAUAAUGACGGUACCCACAGAAGAAGCCCCGGCUAACUUCGUGCCAGCCGCCGCGGUAAGAC
rnacentral:rRNA from 1 species